rnacentral:rRNA from 1 species
AUGUAACAAAUGUAGUCUUAUUAUAACAUAAUAAAACUUUCAACAACGGAUCUCUUGGCUCUCGCAUCGAUGAAGAACGCAGCGAAAUGCGAUAAGUAAUGUGAAUUGCAGAAUUCAGUGAAUCAUCGAAUCUUUGAACGCACCUUGCGCUCCUUGGUAUUCCGAGGAGCAUGCCUGUUUGAGUGUCAUGAAACCCUCAAACCCAAGUUUUGGAUUUCGAUCCAUGCUUGAGUUUGGAUUUGGAUGUUUGCCGGUGAUGAACCGACUCAUCUUAAAAGUAUUAGCUUGGAUCUGUCUAUAUGACUGGUUUGACUUGGCAUAAUAAGUAUUUUGCUGAGGACAUCUUCGGAUGGCCAGGACCUAGACUACUGUCUGCUAACUAAACCAUCACUUUAAGUGCAUCUUUGGAUGUUACUCAUUGUGUAACUUUGACAUCUGGCCUCAAAUCAAGUAGGACUACCCGCUGAACUUAAGCA